GAUGAACGCUAGCGGCAGGCUUAACACAUGCAAGUCGAGGGGCAGCAUGAAGGUUAGCAAUAACCUUUGAUGGCGACCGGCGCAAGGGUGCGUAACGCGUGAGGCAACUUGCCCGUUUCAGGGGGAUAACCGGUGGAAACGCCGAACUAAUACCCCAUGGCAUCAUUGGGAGGCAUCUCCGUUCUGGAUUAAAGAAUUUCGGAAACGGAUAGGCUCGCGUGACAUUAGCUAGACGGCGGGGUAACGGCCCACCGGUGGCGACGAUGUCUAGGGGUUCUGAGAGGAAGGUCCCCCACACUGGAACUGAGACACGGUCCAGACUCCUACGGGAGGCAGCAGUGAGGAAUAUUGGUCAAUGGGUCUGACGACUGAACCAGCCAUGCCGCGUGAAGGUCACGGCCCUAUGGGUCUUAAACUCUUUUGCAAGGGAGCAU
rnacentral:rRNA from 1 species